rnacentral:rRNA from 1 species
AGAGUUUGAUCCUGGCUCAGGAUGAACGCUAGCGGCAGGCUUAACACAUGCAAGUCGAGGGGCAGCAUAAUAAGUAGCAAUACCUAUUGAUGGCGACCGGCGGAUGGGUGCGUAACGCGUAUGCAACCUACCUUAUACAGGGGGAUAACCUUUCGAAAGGGAGACUAACACCCCAUAGUAUUAAUUUAAGGCAUCUUAGAUUAAUUAAAUAUUUAUAGGUAUAAGAUGGGCAUGCGUAUGAUUAGCUAGUUGGUAAGGUAACGGCUUACCAAGGCGACGAUCAUUAGGGGUUCUGAGAGGAAGGUCCCCCACACUGGUACUGAGACACGGACCAGACUCCUACGGGAGGCAGCAGUGAGGAAUAUUGGUCAAUGGAGGCAACUCUGAACCAGCCACGUCGCGUGAAGGAAGACGGCCCUACGGGUUGUAAACUUCUUUUGUAAGGGAAUAAAGUGAAGUACGUGUACUAUUUUGCAUGUACCUUACGAAUAAGGAUCGGCUAACUCCGUGCCAGCAGCCGCGGUAAUACGGAGGAUCCGAGCGUUAUCCGGAUUUAUUGGGUUUAAAGGGUGCGUAGGCUGACCAAUAAGUCAGCGGUGAAAAGCAUAGGCUUAACCUAUGUCUUGCCGUUGAUACUGUUGGACUAGAAUAUAAAUGGAGUAGGCGGAAUGAAUCAUGUAGAGGUGACAUUCAUAGAUAUGAUUUAGAACACCGUUCGCGAAGGCGGCUUACUAAGAUAUAAUUGACGCUGAUGCACGAAAGCGUGGGUAUCGAACAGGAUUAGAUACCCUGGUAGUCCACGCUGUAAACUAUGAUAACUCGUUGUCGGCGAUACACAGUCGGUGACCAAGCGAAAGCGAUAAGUUAUCCACCUGGGGAGUACGAUCGCAAGGUUGAAACUCAAAGGAAUUGACGGGGGCCCGCACAAGCGGAGGAGCAUGUGGUUUAAUUCGAUGAUACGCGAGGAACCUUACCUAGACUUGAACGUAGCAGUAAUAAUGUAGAAAUAUGUUAGCUAGUAAUAGACUGUUACGAGGUGCUGCAUGGUUGUCGUCAGCUCGUGCCGUGAGGUGUCAGGUUAAGUCCUAUAACGAGCGCAACCC